rnacentral:rRNA from 1 species
AAUCAACGCUGGCGGCGUGCCUAACACAUGCAAGUCGCACGAGAAAGGGUCUUCGGAUCUGAGUAAAGUGGCGCACGGGUGGGUAACACGUGGAUUAUCUACCUUCGAGUGGGGAAUAACUUCGGGAAACCGAGGCUAAUACCGCAUAAUAUCUACGGAUCAAAGCAGUAAUGCGCUUGAAGAGGAGUUCGCGGCAGAUUAGUUAGUUGGCGGGGUAAUGGCCCACCAAGACGAUGAUCUGUAUCCGGCCUGAGAGGGCGCACGGACACACUGGAACUGAAACACGGUCCAGACUCCUACGGGAGGCAGCAGUGGGGAAUUUUGCGCAAUGGGGGAAACCCUGACGCAGCAACGCCGCGUGGAGGAUGAAGUCUCUUGGGACGUAAACUCCUUUCGAUAGGGAAGAUUAUGACGGUACCUAUAGAAGAAGCCCCGGCUAACUUCGUGCCAGCAGCCGCCGCCG